rnacentral:rRNA from 1 species
GAUGAACGCUGGCGGCGUGCCUAAUACAUGCAAGUCGAGCGAACAGAUAAGGAGCUUGCUCCUUUGACGUUAGCGGCGGACGGGUGAGUAACACGUGGAUAACCUACCUAUAAGACUGGGAUAACUUCGGGAAACCGGAGCUAAUACCGGAUAACAUAUUGAACCGCAUGGUUCAAUAGUGAAAGGCGGCUUUGCUGUCACUUAUAGAUGGAUCCGCGCCGUAUUAGCUAGUUGGUAAGGUAACGGCUUACCAAGGCAACGAUACGUAGCCGACCUGAGAGGGUGGGAGGCAAGCGGGGAGAAGGGACCAGGUCCAGACAACAACGGGGGGCAGCAGUAGGGGAUCUGCGGCAAUGGGCGAAUGACUGAAAGAGCAACGCAGCGUGAAGGAAGAAGGGCUUCGGAUCGUAAAACUCUGUUACCAGGGAAGAACAAAUGUGCAAGUAAAUGUGCACAUCUGGACGGUACCUGAUCAGAAAGCAACGGCUAACUACGU